AGCAGCCUGGAAUGUUCGAGAACCCCUGCUUUUUUGAACCUACAUUUUUGAUUUUGGGAAUCCAAAUCUUCGGGAAGAUGGCAGGCCUCGUCAUAUAUCGGAGGAAGUCAGAGGCUCGAAUGAGGGUACCCACCUGGCUUAGGCUAGGACUCAAAAUUGCAGGAUACGGCAUUUUGGGCACCCA
rnacentral:other from 1 species